CGCAAAGGGGUUUUUCACGGCGCUCUUGGGCCAGUAGAAAAACGCUUUGCGACAGAAGUUUUGUGGAGGGGGGUUCUUUUCCUUUUUUCCAUUGCGGUGGGUUGUUUCGGUUUUGCUCAGGUGCCAGGGAGGUGGAGGGGGUAGAAUUCGCGGGCUCCCGGCUCAGGGCCGAGUGGCCAUCCAGGAAGGAGGGGGUCUGACAGGACGUUUAGCCGCCGCUUCCCGAAAACCGCUGGGUCUGCAUUCUCUCGGCGAGCGCGGGGAGUGUGAUUUGAUUCCUCUCCAUUUCUAGAAGCAAAAGGGAGAUUUGCUUCCUGGGCAUCUUGCUCGGGCUGGAAAGCAGUUCUGGAAAGCUCUCCCGAAUACGUCAUGGUUCUUGCUCAUGCUGUGCGCCUGCAGGGAAUGCGUUUUUUGUGUUUUAGAGCUGUAAGUCCAGUAGCCGUCUUGGAAACUAUUUACCGGCUGCAGGGACAGUGGCCUGCAGGAGCAAAACGGAGCUUGCCUGACAGACAUGCUACGAGAUGUUGGCUGAAAAUUAUUUUGAUCUUAUCAGUUUAGUUGCCUUUUUAGGCAACUAUUCUGUGUGUGUGUGUGUGUGUGUGUGUGUGUGUGUGUGCUCGCGCGCGCGCGCAUCCGGCUUUCAUUCGUCUCUGAUAUCCACACCCGCAAAAAAGAGAAAAACCCUCUUCUUAUCUUUUACUGCAGCAGAAGUGGUCGUUGUCCAGGACUCUCUUCAGUGGAUAUGGGUGAAAAGAAAGACUAUGUUCCCUGGGUGAAUUAGAGCUGGAGAAACGAGAAAGGCCAUGGUUGUCUUGGUUUAGCGGGAGGGAUGUCUCUGUUGGUUUUAUUUGAGCUGCGUAGGUGCAAAUUCGGUGCAGUGUGGGUAUCCAAAGGUGAAUUCUGGAGCUGCCUUGGUGUGGGUGUUGCCAUGGCUACAGGGAGAGGUAGUUGGUGAGUUACGGGGGCCAAUAAACCCAGCAAGGCCAGGCCUCUCCCUUGAAUGAAGCCUUAGUAUUAACUAUCCAAGUUUAUGUAUCCUGGCUUUCACCGUUCCCAUCCCGGUCCAAGGUUCCUGGACUGAUCAUUACAGGCACACGAGGGUCUUGUAUUGAUUCCUAUAUUGACUAAUACAGGCGCAGUCACUGCCUUGUAUGGUUUUGUAAUUAGAGGCUGCAUACGGGAGCAUAGUUUUGGAACCAUUGGCCAUACAAUUUGAUGUGUAAGUUACUGCUUCUCUUACCUCAUCAUACCGAGUUCGAACAUUUAAUCAUUGGCUUUUUAUGCCUUUUCCCAUAGGCAAACCAUCACUUUACCUUAGGGUGCUUUCUGCCUAAAACUUACACUCCAUUUUACUGUGUAUCAAUAUAAUACCAGACCACUGAGUUCAUGGACAUUGCAAAAGAAAGACAGUUGCAGCUUUGCAUAAUCGCCAUAUAGCAACAACCACUCGUGCCUUUGUGGAACACGCAGUAAUUCAGUGUUCUUUGUCAGCUGCAGUGCUGGGAGUCCGCCACUUGGCUUGCUGUGUGAGGUAGAGCAAAGGACUACAUCUUCCAGAGUCUUGGUUUCUUCUGUAGUAUGAAGAGAAUCAAGUCUGUUUCCCAGUCCUUGUGACGAUUGCAUGAGAUGGGAAUGUGCCAGCACUAUGUAAAUUGUAGAACUAUUGACAUCAUGAUAUUCAGUUACUAAAGCAUUUAUUGAGUGCCAAUAACUGUCUGACAUUGUGAGAGGAAGAUUUUCCUUCAGUAUUUUCUGCUUUGUGGGGUGAACAGAUUGACAAACUCAGAUCUAAAAUAAACCUUAAAUAGCACAGUUUUUUUCUUAAUUGAAGGCAUAGUAUUAUUGUAGCCUUAUUAGCAUGCAGGCCAGAUUUGAGGGCCCUUAGGGUGACUAGCACAUCAGUUUGCCUUGGUCUUUCCUGGUUUUAGCAUCAAAGGCCCAUGUCCUAGAAAGCGCCUCUGUCCCAGGCAAACCAGGACAUUUGGUCACCCUUGGACUGUUUUCAUUCCCACAAGAUGGGAGGAUGAACAGAAUAGGAAAUGAAGAUUCCUACUAUAUAGAGGCGAUUAGGUUUCCCUGCAGCUGGAGGCUACUGGGCUCAAGAAAAGGGAUGUCCUUGUGUAAGGUAAGUGUGGGCUGACGCCUGAAACUCAGCAUGUCCAAAUUCAAACAUAAUUUUAUCCAUCUUUAUUGUCCUUCCUUCUCUCAGUCCCCACACAGGGCCUGCCUGCGUGCCUUCCUUCCUUCCUUCCUCUCUUCCUCUGUUUUCUUUCUUUUCUAUCUUUCUGUUUCGGAAUUUUCUUAUUCAGUUCUAAUCUUUAUCUCUGGUAAAGGCUCUCCUAAAGAUUUCGUCACUUUGGAGCACAGAAAUUCUUUUUUAUGCCAUGGACCCCUUUGUCAAUCUGAUGAAGCCUAAUGCUGCUAUGGUUCAUUGCUGUAUUCAUAAUUGAAGGCAUGCUACAUUUCACUUAGAGGUUAGUGAAAAGAGAUGUUCUACUUUUCUAUCCAAGUUUAUGGACCUGAAUUGUCUCCAUGUAGGCCAGGUUCAGAACCCCACUCCUUCUCCAUUGCUCCAUUGUAGUUCUCUUUCCACCCUGUCCUCUUUUAUUCUCUUUCACCUUUACAUUCUUUUUUUUUUUUAAUAAAUAAAUUUAUUUAUUUUUGGUUUUGUUGGGUCUUUGUUGCUGCGUGCAGACUUUCUCUAGUUGCGGCAAGCGGGGGCUACUCUUCGUCGCGGUGUGCGGGCUUCUCAUUGCAGUGGCUUCUCUUUGCUGCAGAGCACGGGCUCUAGGCACGCGGGCUUCAGUAGCUGUGGUGUGUGGGCUCUAUAGCGCAGGCUCAGUAGUUGUGGCACAUGGGUUUAGUUGCUCCACGGCACGUGGGAUCUUCCUGGACCAGGGCUCGAACCCGUGUCCCCUGAAAUGGCAGGCGGAUUCUUAACCACUGCACCAGCAGGGAAGUCCCACCUUUACAUUCUUGCCAUUAUAUGUCACCACCAUAGUUCAAGACACUGUGGCUGUUUUCCUAACUAUUGCAAAAAUUGUUCUCCCACCCCUAGUUCCAUCUUACGCCCAGCUGAUGGAGUAGUUUUUCUAAAGCACAUAUAUGACUAUAUAAUUUCCCUCCUCAACCUCCCAUGGCUUCCUAUGGCCUCUAGCCUUAAGUGCAGUUUCCUCAGGAAUUCCUUCAGGGCCCUCCAUAAUCUGAUCUUUCAGUCCUAAUAAUCUACUACCCUUUGCAACUGCUAAAUUUUGGCCAUACGAACUGUUCUUUAAUCUUUGUGCUUUUUCCCCUCCAUCUUACAUUCACUUUGCUCUCUGGGCCUCGAUUUCUGAUUUCCAUCAUCUCUGCCUAGCAGAGUUCUAACAUCCUUAAAGACUUCAAAUGCAAAGUUAGCUAAGAUAACCUCUUCCUCCGCUGGACUCCCUCAGUGCUUUAUUUUACCCUCUUCUGUUCUUACUGUCUACUUUAUUAUGAGUAUUUGAUUACUCAUUCCAUAAAUGUUUUUCAAGUAUCUGUUGUGAGUGUGGCCCUGUACUAGGGGCCAUGCGGAUAUAAAAUAAAACUGAUUCAAACCUUGGUUUUUAAAGGACUUGUAUUUUGGGUUGGGAGGUAAUGUGAACCUAAAUAACAUUUUUUUCAAGGUAAAAGAAAACAAGUAUUUCAGGCAUCCAGAGGGAGAACUCACUUUGCUAGAGGGAUGAGAGAAAGCUUUGUGGAGAAGGUGGCAUCCAAGCUAGCUUGGAGGAUCAGCGACUUAUAUGGAUGUACAUGGGGAAGGCAUUCAACACAGAGGGAAUACCAGGAACAAAGCUACCAAGCUGAAAAGAGAAGGGUAUGUUAGGGAAGGGGCAGAAGUUUCAUCUGUUAUUAAGGGGCCUCUUGGGAGACAGGCUGGUGGCAGGUUGGUUAAGGCUAGAUAGAGAAUGGCCACACAUUCCCGGCCAGAAGAUAAGAUGAUGCCGUUGCAUGGAAUCCAUUGAAGAGUUUUGACAAGAGACGGACAGAAUCAGAGUCAACACUUAUCUCUGAUGACAGCACUGAAAAGUUUAAUGAUACUCUAGAAAAAGGAUAUUCAUUCAAGAUUCAUUCAACAAUGUUUAUUAAAUUCAUUCUGUAUGUCAGAUACCCUUGAAUGUGAGUGCUUAUUACCCUGUCCUGGGGUCAUGGUUAUUAGUGGUUUGGGGGUCAUCAGCACCUUUGGGUGUCUAAUAAAAGCCAUAGAAACCUCCCAGAAAAACAUACACAAAAUAAUUCUGCAACUCUUGUCAUAGAGUCUAGACUUUCAGACUCAAUCAAAACCAAGACAUUUAAAAUCUAAAAAUCCUCUUCAGUGGGAUGUGUUUAGGCCUUACCACUGUAUGAUCACAUAUGAUCUAUCUAUGUAGAUAACUACAUACGUAGGCAUUCAUACGUAGUUUAGUUGAUCAACUGUAUACGUAGCACUAAGGGAACUAUUUCAAUACUCGAACUGAUUGUUGUUUUUAAUCAUAAGACUUUAAAGCAAAAAAGGGCCAUCUUUUUGCUACUGGAAUUUGGGAGGCAAAAUACAUUAUAGCAUUGUUUUUUUCAUUAAGAUAAGAGUUGUAAUUCGUCACUUAUGCAAGCAUUUUUCAAAUUAUAAUAUGCCAUAUUGGUAAAUCUAGUCUUUGAAGUUUUUAAGUUCUGGUCUCUCAUUUGUUUUAAAGUCUGUACAACCUGAAAUAUAUACAAUUAAAGAAAUAUAUACAAUUAAAUAUAUACAAUUACAUACCUGGAGUACGUAAAUAAGAUUUUUCACAGAACAUUUUCCUGUGAGAUUUAGUACAAUUGAUGUUUUGAUCAAAGUUUGUUUAUUAUCUUGAAAAAGUAUUUUCAUUGAAGAGAAUGAGUGGUGAUUGCCUGAGUUAUUUUCAGAACAGUUUACCAGUGGGUUUUUUGAUAUUACUUCCCUUGUGCUGCUCUUCCUAAUUAACAUCAGGUUUGCUAAAUUUUAUUGCAGAAAGACUGAUAAAGAGAAACCCUGUCAUCUGGAACCUGAGAUUUAUGAAUUUGUGUAAAACUUGUAUGUUUAAAAGGUGCAGAGAGGGAACACAAGCUGUCAUUUGAGAGUUCUUCUCUGUGUGAAUAAUUAAUGAUGGUAUAACUGGAUACCAAACAAAAUUUACAAGUGUCUACAACUCUUUACCUCUACCUGGAAACUUGUUGCAAUGAUUAUUAUUUCAGGAAGACAAGGUUGCUGAGAUUUCCCAAAAGGAUGUAAUUCCAAGUGGCCUUUAGGAAUCCAGUAUGACAGAUUUCUUUGUUGCUGGAUGAAGUCUAUUUUAAAUGGUAAAAUGAUCUGAUUACAACAUAAAGAAUCUUCUACCCAUAAAAAAGAUCUAUAGGUGGUGCAAGCAUCAUCAAUAUCAUCAGUGAACAUUAUUGAGGUUCUUACCUGGGCAAGGUACUCUGGGAGUACCGAGCUUGCAAAGAAUUACACAUAGCUCUGCCCUUUACAUUCUCACAACUAAACUAUAACCCACAUGCAGGCAGGGACCAUAGUUUUAUUUAGUUAGUUAUUUAGUUAGUUACACUUACGUUUGCUUAUACCCUCAAUACUUACAACCAAGUCUGGCAUAUAAUAGUUGCUAACUAAGUGUAUGUUGAACAUCUGAAUCAAUAACUAUUAAAAUAGUUGGAGAGAAAAAAAGAGAGUUAAAUGAAAGAAGAAAAGCUUCUAUUUUGUAAUGUAGCUUUUAAAAGGGAAAAUACUACAUAUGUUCUUUUAAAACACCUUUAUUAUGUGAUAUUUGAUACAUAUAAAAUAAUAUAUAUAGUAAAUGUAAAUUAUUAAGCAUAUUAAAAUAAGCCCCAGUGAAUUCACCACCUAUUCAAAUAAUUAGAAAAUUACCAAUACUGUGGAAAAUAACUUGUAUACUUCCCAAUGUCAUCUUCCUGCCUCUCCCUCAGCCCAAACUGCAUUCUCAAUUCAGGGGUAUUUUAACUUUGAGAUGGAUAAAUCAGAAACAAGGAUUUACAGAAGACAAAUCUAUGUGAUUCUUUAUUAAGAAUUAAUACAGGGCAUCCCUGGUGGCGCAGUGGUUGAGAGUCCGCCUGCUGAUGCAGGGGACACGGGUUCGUGCCGCGGUCCGGGAAGAUCCCACAUGCCGCAGAGUGGCUAGGUCCGUGAGCCAUGGCCGCUAAGCCUGCGCGUCCGGAGCCUUAGGCUCCACAGCGGGAGAGGCCACAACAGUGAGAGGCCCGCGUACCGCAAAAAAAAAAAAAAAAAAAAAAAAAGAAUUAAUACAUUUAGUAAGUGAUUGAAAAAUACAUUUGUUAAUAAUCAUAUGGAAGAUAAUUUAUUAUAGGCUCUUUGAAUACCAUAAAAAAGUAGUAAGGGUUACUUCUGUGUGCUAAAUCCUGGGGACAUCAGAACAGCUUACCUAUGCACUCAGAGAAGGCAUAUAUUAGAGUUCACUUUUUUGUUUUGUUUGUUUUGCCUUUCCUUCCCUCUUAUGGUGUAAAGUAAAUUUUGAAAUAUCAUUUUUUGGGGGAAAUUUACUUUAAAUUGCUUUUCUAUUUGUCAUGUAUGUUUUCUAUUUCAUAGUCUCAAAACUGUCUUUAAUCACUUGGGGUAUGUUUUUACAUCGAUUCUUAGUGAAACUCUUCCUGUGAGUUGUCUGUGAAGAGAUUUUAAGUUAUAACACUGGUAAAGAUUUACUAAAGCAGAACAUAAAAGUAAAGAAGCAAGCCACAAACAGAAUGGCAUUAUAGAAACAUUUAUCUUAUCAAAUAAGAAUCCUUACACCAAUGUUUACUAGGAGCAUCCUUUUCUACAAUACAUAGUAUAGUGUGUUAUGUCUAGUAUCAUAAACUCAAAUUCCAGAGAAAUAUAGUAUUGUAAAUGAAUAGGAUUUCUUUCCAGAACAAUUUUCCUUUCUCAUUAAUCUUUCUACAUCUGGUUUCCAUUGUAGUUCUAUAUGCAGCCAUCAAACAAGUUGUCUUUCUGAUUUCCUUCUUUUAAUUUUUUAAAAUUAAUUAAUUAAUUAAUUAAUUUUUGGCUGAGUUGGGUCUUCAUUGCUGUCUGCAGGCUUUCUCUAUUUGCGGCGAGCGGGGGCUACUCUUUGUUACAGUGCGAGGGCUUCUCAUUGCAGUGGCUUCUCUUGUGGAGCACAGGCUCUAGGCGCACAGGCUUCAGUAGUUGCAGCUCACAGGCUCAGUCGUUGUGGUGCACGGGCUUCGUUGCUCCGCGGCAUGUGGGAUCUUCCCGGACCAGGGCUUGAACCCGUGUUCCCUGCAUUGCAGGCGGAUUCUUAACCACUGUGCCACCAGGGAAGUCCCUCUUUUAAUUUUUUACUUGACAUAAUUUCAGACUUACAGAAAAGUUCCAAGAAUUGUACAAAGAAUCCCCAUGUACCCUAUAUUUCCCAAAUGGUAACAUUUAUCACAUUGGCACAUUCAUACAUGUUCUCUUGUGCUCCCUCUUUCUUGUGGCAGGCAUGAUAGCCCUUUGUCCCUAAACAUUUCAGUGUAUAAUUCUAGAAAUAAGGUCAUUCUAUUACAUGUUACAUAACUAUAGUACAAUUAUCAAAAUCAGGAAAAGGACAUAAUAACAUUGUCCAAUAUUGUCCAAUCUACAGUCUUCAUUCAAAAUUUGCAAAUUGUCCCACUGCUGUUCUUUAUAGAAAAGUAAAAUCCCAGAUCAUGCAUUGCAUUCAAGUGUCAUGUCUCUAGUGUCACGUAAUCUGGAAUCCUUCCUCAGUCCGUCUGUGUUUUUCACAACAUGGACUAGUUUACAGAUUUCUAACCCAUGAAUAUGCUGAGAAUUUUUAAGGAAGUAAGUAUAUUUCAAGUAACUGAAUUAAUCACUGUCAGGAUAUAUAGAAAAAAGGUUUAGGCACUGAUUAUUUUAUGUUACAUUCAUUAAAAAAUUAUGCCAAAGAGAUGGUAGAGCAAAAGAUGAGAAAAAGCAAUUUAAAAUUCUAGACUUUUUCCCCCCUUCCUAAUCCAAUUCACUCUUUUUUACAGAUGAGAAAAUAGAAAGCAGACCAAGACAGAUUAGGUAAUUGGUCAGAAGUCCUCUAGCUCACCUUCUUGGAUCUCCGUACUUUUCUCUAUAGCAUAUAAUGCUUAAUGGAAAAAACUCAGUAUAAAACUCUAAAAGUAGUACAUUGGUUUAUUUUUAUUAAUUCCGUCUACUGUGUUUGGUUUGCCCAUAAGAAUUCUGCCAACCAGUUGUCUCUAUCUGUUACAUAUGUAUCCCAUAUGAUAGUUGUAUAAUAGUUGAUAUUUGAUUUCCAUUAUAAUGUUUAUAAUAUAAUGUUUUGUCACAUAGAAGUUAAAUUUAUCUUAGGACCAUUUACACAGUAUUUAGGCAGUAGUGUGAUAGUUUGUCUAGGACACAAGUGUAACAUGACCUUAGGUACUUCACAGAAGACAGGGUGGGCUCCAGGCUAUGCUCUGAAGGAAAGGAACCUUUUAACCAGGUUCAGUCACCCUUGGUAUGUGAGGGGGUUUGGUUCCAGGAUCCCUGAGGAUGCCGAAAUCUGCAGAUGCUCAAGUCCCUUAUACAAAAUGGCGUGAUCUUUGCAUAUAACCUAUGCAUAUCCUCCAAUAUACUUAAAAUCAUCUUUAGAUUACUUAUAGGACCUAAUACAAUGUAAAUGCUGUGUAACUAGUUGCUAGUGCACAGCAAAUUCAAGUUUUGCUUUUUCUGAACUUUCUGGAAUUUUUUUUUCCCGAAUAUUUUCAAUCUACAGUUGGUUGAAUCCACCGAUAACAGAACCUGAGGGCCGACUGUACAGCUGUAAGCUUUUCACCAGAGUAUCCCUGACAGGAUAGGGAACAGAAGAUAUUUAUUGCUGUGGGCCUGAGCUAGUCUACCCAAUGCUACACAUUUUUUUGAAACUUCAUGUAUUUCAUGUUUAAAAUUUAUACAUAUUUUAUUUCUUUCAAUUAAGAAGAUGUUGCACCUCCAAAAACCUGUCUAAGAGAUAGGACUUAACUACUCCUGUAGCUUCAAAUACCACUCCAUAUCACCACACCCCAGUUUGAGAAACACACGAACAAAUUCAUGAAGAGAGUUGUGGAAUUGCAUGCUUGGGGUCCAGGCAGAACAGAGUGCUAACUCAUGAGAGACACUUUGACAAGUAAAAGGCAGUCUGUGGAGAAGUGCAGAAGUGGGGUUUGAGAGCAGUGAGAUAGGGCAGAGCAGUUAUGUGGCCUUUGAUGCCACCAUGAGGAGCUGAAGAAAUACAGUGAACGUUAGGAUUAAUGCCAACUGGGGUGAAGAAAACCAGGAUUCUGGGUCUCUCUCUGCUAUUCCCUAUGCCCUGUGACAUUGGGCAAUCUGGAUUCUGGUUUCCUUAUAUGGAGAAAGGCAAGACUAAAAUAGGUGAUUGUGAGUUUUCUUCUGGCUGUAGUAUUUUGUGAUUCAUUAUGAGCUAAUAGAAUGCAUUAGCUUGUUAAUAGUUUCCAUGCUUCAUAAUUUCCAAAUUUAAUCUGAUAGAUGCCCUUAAUAUUAUUACUAGCCACACACUGCUGAUAAUAUUCAAUAUUUAUUUCAAGGCAACCAGUAUACUUACACUUUUAAGAAUAUCACUAUGAAAUCUAGGCCUGCCAUCUUAUGGAUCGUAAAUGGUACUACCAAAAUACAGGGUAGUAUAUCUGUUAGUGUCAGAUGAUUUUUGAACAGAUCAAGAGAACACCUACUUAUUUAUAUGUAGCUUACUUCCAAAGGAGUUUAUACAGUAUUUUGAAAUUUAUUUUCUUUGAUAAUUCUUAAUUUAACUUCCUAAGAAAGAAUCCAAGUAAAUCUAAGUAUCCCCUACCUCCAAUUUUAAUUGUUUAUGGAUCCCAAUAAUUAUUUUCUAGACAGCAUUUCAUUUUCUAAAUGGCUAUAGGUAGUUCCUUUGCUUUUGAAAUUGUUUGGAACAAGAGAAUGGUUCUUUGAAGUGAUUGUGGGGAAGUGCUUGCAUGCGUAUUGUAUGAAAGCUGUGAUCAGCUACUCCUCGUGGUUGUGAAGUGUAGCAGUCUCCCUUUUUUCUUUUUAUAUAGCUAUAAAUUAUUAGAGUUGCUGGUUUCACAUUGCAGCUAGGCUGAGUGUUUGUGGAAUUCACUCCUUCCAUCUCCUGCAUUUAUCUUCUGUCGUGUGAAGGAUCCAAAACACAGAACUUUUAUCCACAGAGAACGUGGGAGAGUUAGUAGGAAACAUUUUUCAGCUCUUUCAAAACUGUAACUUUAAAAUAUUGUAAAUAAAAAAACCAAGGAAAAAGGACUCUGCUUCCUAAGUGAAUUAUGGAAUUUGUCUCUAAUUAAACUUUCUUUUGUCCAAAACAGAUCCAAAUAAAAUUGUUAUGCCUCUCUUCCCACUAACAUAUUUUGAGACACUGAAAAUAGUCUAAGGAUUGCUUUUGAAGUCCGUUCUGAAAUUUUAUCUGGGACACAAGUCGUAAUUCUUCUGUUUAAGGUUGCUGAUGAAGCUUUUUAAACCACACUCUAUUUCCCACUGGUUUUCAAUUUAUUUUCAGUAUGCUUCAGUAUUUGUGGAGGUUUUAAUCCCUUUCAAGUUGAAACAUGAUUAUUACAGUAUAGAAGGCAGCAUUUGAACAUGGCUGACAGUACAAGCAAUUGCUAUAACUAAUUUUCAUCGGUAUGAGUCCUUACAACUGAGUCAAACAGCAGCAGCCCCUAUCAGUUAUAGAGAACAGUAGGGGAGAUCUAGCUAAGUCAUUUCAGUUUCUCGGGGCUCUCUUUUUUGCUGAAUAGAGAUGUUGGCUGAGAUUACCUUCUUCCUGCUGCCUCUUGGAAGGUAAAUGCUUUUGCUAAUCAUCUCAUGAUUUAAUUAUCAGAUCUCCUUUCUUUAGAAUUUUCUCUCUUGUUUUGACUAAGUCCUAUUAAUGACUUUCAGGAAACAGUGUAGAUUGUUAUUUCCACAUUGAGCCCAAUCAGAAGCCUGUGACCUCUGUAUUUUUCUGCUUAUUUUGGUUAUAUAUUUUGAGAUUUUUAUGAACAUUUAAAAUGUUCUAAAAUUCUGCUCAAAGUUAAAAGUUUUCUUUUUACUCUGACUCUAAUGGUUUAUUUAAAACAUAUUUGAGAAAGCUUUUGGUUUUUACUUCCAGUUGCUCAAUUUAUGUUUCAGAAUUUCUAAAUCAUCUAUAUUUGCUUUUACUCUUAAAAUAUACUGUCAUUAUAAAAUUAAAUGACUAUACCACGUGCCAACAAUAUAUUUUAUAGAAAUGAAAUUGUUCACAAAAAUGAGUCACUGUAGGAAAGAUACCUCACAAAUGACUGUUUUGUGAAGUUCAAGUUUCACUAAAAAAGGUAAAGAUUGAAAACCCUCUAAUGCUUAAAGCUCUUUUUGGGGAAAGACUGCAAAUGUGUAAUGUACAUGUUGAAACUUGUGUUAGAUUUCAAAAUUUAGCUUAAUUUUACACCUGCCACAGGAAUAUUCCAGAGGUCAUAAGUGCAAAAAUAAAAUCAUUGCCAAUUUUGUGCCUUUCACUUAAAUAUUCAAUUAAGUAAUUUUUUAGGCAAUUACUUUUGGAAGAAUAAGGUGCCAGCGUAAAAUUUAAAUGGAGCCAACUGGUUUUAUAGAGUUCCAGGUAAUAAGAUAUAUUAAAAAAAGCUUAAGUAGAAUUGCUUAGUAAUGGAAUAAUUUGGCUAGAAAAGAAGUAAAAUAGAUCAUUGUUCCCAUGAAAACUCAAGCAUAAGUUGAGGUCACUGUUGGAAAUUUUGUAGAAUAUAUUUUUUCACUGGAGGGAGGUUGGAUCAGAUAUACUCAAAUAUCCCUUUUAACUCUAAAAGUCUAAGAUUUCAGUAAACUUUAGACUAAUCCUUUAUAAAACUAACGUUAACAAUUUCAGAGAGUAUGAAUGGGAGGCAUUUUGAGGGGUGUUUAAUCAUUAUUCUGGAAAUAUAUCCUGAGUUGGGGCAAUGAAGAAAAAUGUUUCCCUUUUUGCUGCCAUUGAAGGCAUGUUGACAGUAGAGAAUAAAAAAAACAAAAAGAACUCCUGUAGCUCUAAAAACGUUUUAUGAAAAUAACUAUCGGGGCUUCCCUGGUGGCGCAGUGGUUGAGAAUCCACCUGCCGACGCAGGGAACGCGGGUUCGUGCCCCGGUCCGGGAAGAUCCCACAUGCCGCGGAGCGGCUGGGUCCGUGAGCCAUGGCCGCUGAGCCUGUGCUCCGCAACGGGAGAGGCCACAACAGUGAGAGGCCCGUGUACCACAAAAAAAAAAAAAAAAAAACAACUUUCUCUUCUAUUUCUGCUGAUCUUCAGCAAAUCGUUUUUAGUAAAAUGUGAGGAUCAUUUCCUGUCAUUAUUGGGUUCUAAAGUUUGAUCUCCCCAAAAAGCUGACUGUCCUUUGUGAACCGGCUGUGUGUGGUGGCCUGUACCUUGUGGGAUCUGGAUGUUGAUCAAUGGUGAAGAUUUUUCCAUUUUAAUUCCAGCAGAAGAACCUUGUGAUCAGAACUCAAGGGCAUGGUGGGUUGGGUGGGUCCCGGAUACCCGUCCUCUCACUGUCCCCCAGCAUCAUCUAGUUGAAGAGGAAGUGGUUCCCUGGCUGCCAAGUGUCAGUGAAGCGCUGUGUUAAAGUUCUCUGGGAAGGGGUCUCGUCGACGCUUGGUAAGUAGUUAUCUGGCAGUUUGCUUCUGGCCAAUGGUAAGCUGACCCUUAACAAAACUGUGACGUAAGAAAGGUUAUUUUUUUACACCAUUCACCCUGGUUCCCAUCAUCAAGUCACAGCCUCCAUCUUCAGACAUUCAGAGUCUUGAUUUAGUAUUCUCCAUGACACACCUUCUCCUCGAGCUUACUUUCUGGGAAGGAUGUUAUUAAUAUGCUAAUGCAAAUUUAGGUUAAUGUCUUAUCUCUCUCAGGGAUAUGUGCAUUUCAAACCUUUCUUCUAUGGAAUGAUAGCACCAGCUGACAGCAGAGGUAUUUCGAGGCCCUUCUGGAAAUUAUUAUCAUGUUAAACUAUCUCCCAGCCUGUCUUCUUUUAAGGUCUUAGCCUCUAGUUCCAUCUCCAGCACGCCCCUCUUAUCUCUUUCUCUCAUUCAUUUAUUCAACAAAUAUUUACAGAGCUUCAGUAUGUGUGAUGUACUAGGCUAGGCACAGGGAGUAGCACAAUAAACUAAAGAAAGGCACAGUCCCUACUGCAGUGGACUUUAUAGUCUAAUGAGAGAUUCUGUCAAAUAAUCAUAUAAAUACAUGUCAAGUUGUAACUGUGGAAAGUGCUAUGAAGGGGAGAACAGAGUGCUGUGUAUAUCUAAUAGGGGCCCUAGCCAGGAGGUCCAGGACAUACUCCCUGAGAAAGUCUGAUUGAACUGAAUGGGAGUUAAUGAGACAGAAGGAUUGAUAGGAUGUAUUGGCCUCCUAGGAGUGCCAUAAUAAAGUACCAAAAAUUGGGUUGCUUAAAGCAUCGGAAAUGUAUUAUUUCGUGGUCCUGGAGGCUAGAAGUCCGCGAUUAAGGUGUCAGCAGGGCCGUGCCCUCUCUGAUGGUUCUAGGAGAGAAUCCUUCCUUGUCUUAUCUAGCUUCUGGUGUGUGCUGGCAACCCCAGGUGUUCUUUGGCUUGUAGAUGUACCUCCCAAGGCAUAUGACUGCCUUCUCCCUUUGUGUCUUUAUAUUUCCUUCCCUCUGUACAUGUUGGUCUCUGUGCCCAGAUGUCCCCUUUGUAGUAAGAACAUCAGUCGUAUUAGAUUAGGACCCACCCUAAUGACCUCAUUUUGUUUAACUUGAUUACCUCUGUAAAGACCCUGUCUUCAAAUAAGAUCACCUUCUGAGGUACUAGGGGUUGGAGCUUCAACAUAUCUUUUUGGGGGCCAAAAUUCAACCCAUAACAGGACAAGAAGAAGAGGAGUAGAAAAGUGUUCUAUGCAGGGGAAACAGUACAUGACAUGGUCCUUUGGCGGGAGGAAACAUGGCCUCUGUGGAGUAGAAAGUGAGGGGUUGUGUGGUGUGAGAGGAAGCUGGAAUGGAAGUAAAGAUGCGUGGUUAGGCCUGUGUUAGGGACUUUGGUUAUAAUGUAAGAGCAAUGAAUCUUUAUUGGAGGAUUUCAGCAGGAAUAAGACGUGAUCAGAUUUGCACUUUGAAAAAAAUCACAUGGGUUGGUGACAGCAAGAAUAGAUGCAGUUAUACCAUUUAGGAAGCUACUGCAAUAGAGCAGGUGAGAGAGGAAGGGACAUAAAGGGAAUUGGUCACAGAAAGCAAAAUAAGUGAGCCUUGAUGAUAAAUUGGAUGUAAGAUGGAGGAGGGAAUGGUCAAGAAUGUUCAUUCCUAGAUUUCUGACUCAUUUGUCUAAAUGCAUGAAUGAACCAUGUUAUGGGCAAACUUGUGAGUUUACUUUGGACAUGCUGGUCCUGGGGUGCUCCUCUUAGAAUCGUCAGAUCAGCAUUUGUAGAUCUGGGGCCUAGAGGGAAGGUCCCAGCUGAAGAUGAAAAUUAGAAUCACUGGCGUGUAAGUGAUAAUUGAAGGUGUGCACCCCGGUUGAGAGAGUAUCUACAGGGAGAAGAGAAGAGGGCCUAGGGCAAUAGCAGAAAAUAGGCCCACAAAGGAGAUUAAGGCAGAGCAGCCAGAGACAGAAGAGGAAAACUAGGAGAGUGUGGCUUCAUAGAAGCCAGGGGAAGAGGGAGUGGUCAAAUACACCUGAGAGAGGCAAAAACUGUCCACUGGAUGUAGCAAUAUGGAAGUGAUUGGUAACUUAACAGAAAGAUUCUUUGGGCUAGUGAAAUGGAGGAAGCCAGACUGGAGGGGUGUGAUGAGUGGGAGAAGGGCAAUGAAGACAGGCUUUAUAAACACUGACACUUUCCAGAAAUUUGGCUGUGAAAUGGUGGAAGAAGUAGUUCCUGGAAGCAGAGUGUAGGACCGUCUUAGCUCGGGCUGCUGUAACGAAGUGCCAUAGACUGGGUGGCUUCAACAACAGACAUUUAUUUGCUCACAGUUGUGAAGGCUGAAAGUCUAAGAUCAAGGCGCCAGCAUGGCUGCUUUCUGGAGAGAACUCUCUUCCUGGCUUGCAGUGGUUGCCUCCUUGCUGUGUCCUCACAUGGUGGGAAGUGAAAGCGAGAGAGAACGAGAGAAAGCAUGCAAGCUCUCUGGUUCCUCUGAGUAUAAGGGCAGUAAUCCCAUCAUGAGGGCCCCAACCUCAUGACCUCAUCUAAAUGUAAUCACUUCCCAAAGGCUCUGUCUCCAAAUGCCAUCACAUUGGGGGCUUAGGGCUUCAACAAAUGGAUUUGGGGGGAACAAAAUUUAGUCCAUAACAAGAGAGUGUGGUUAUUUUUCUUUAAAUGGGAAGGCCUUCCGCAUGCUGAAAAGUUGCAGUUGAGGGGUAAAGAUUAAAUAAUUGAGCAAGAGAAGGGUAAUUGAAAGCACCCAGCAAGAGAGGACGGAAUAGAAAAAGUGGCCUUAGAUAAAAGAGGAGAUACUGUCUCACAUAACAGUACUCUGGGAUUUCGUCCUUUGGGGGAUACCAGCAGGGGUGUGGAAUUGCACAGAACAACUUAACCUGUGAGUGUUCUCAGCUGUCAGGAUCUCUCUCCUUAGGUUCAUCGCUGCCCCAUGCUGCUGCAUGGAAGAGGAGCAGACUGUCAGUGUCUGCAGGUUUUAAUACAUUUCAAGUAUCAAAGCAAAUCAUUUUUCCCCUCUUCUCACCCCUUCUCACCCCUGGGCAAGGGUAGGGUGGGAAUUGGGAAAUAAGGUGACAUUUUCUGGGACCAGACCUAUAAAAGAAGGUGGUGGUGGCAGUGGUGUUUUCCUCAUAAUCCACUACGUCUAUGCUCCCCUCCCUUCUCCUGAGUACUUCCUUCAUUAAUAGAAAUCAGCAUCUGAGGAGCAGGGUCCCUUGGAGUGCUCUUCUUAGGACACCUGACAGGUAGGGGAGCCCACCGUCUUCCCUUCCUGAGGCUUCCCCAUGCCCCUGCUCUCUCAGACGGCCCUCGGACUGGGCUGAUGUUGCAGGCUGGGGCAGGUGCUUUUUAUUCCAGUUUAAUGGAAUCUAAUCUGGCACCUGCUAUAAACAUAGGAUGACCCAAAGGUCAAGCCUUUAGUAAAUCAGUUUGGUAAGAUACACCAGGUGGCAAAAGAGAGAAUCAUUUCCACUUUAAAAAAUAAAACUUUGUGAUUUUCGGUCACUUCAAGACACACCUUCUGUAUUUUUCUUCUGAGACAGUAAAAAAAAAAUUAUUUCGUUUUUUUCAUGCCAUGGUCUAAUCAAGUCCAGCCCAGAACAAAAUCGGCCUGGCCCUCUCUGUGGGGGUGAUGAUUCUUUUUGUUGUAGUCAUCAUUUCUGGCUCCUUUUACUUUUUAAAAUUCUGGGUUUAACUGGUCCUUAAUAUAAGCGUUCCUGGGACUCCUGUGUUUCCUGUUCUCCUGUAUUCCAUUCUGCAUUUCCCAGAUUAAGCUUCGAGUCAUGGGUAGGAAUUUGUGGGCUGGCCUUCAGCUGCACCUGCUGAUAAAGACUGAACCCCACUGUCGGGCAAGUCAGGAACAUGCUGGUUCAUGCUGGCAUAAAUGGGCUUAGGGUUUCCAUGAAAGUCUUCCUUUCUUAUAUGUUUAUUUUUGUCUUUUGAAAAUAUUGAAUAAGCAUUUCCUGCAUUUCUCAUUGUAAAAGAUUUUUUAAAAAUACAGAAGUACUUAGAGCAAAAUGUAAAACAGCGUCUCUGCCAUCUCUCUUUUCCAGCACUCCCCCGUCAAUUCCAUUUGUGAUUUCUUUAGUGGAAUUUGCAUCUUUUCAAAACCUUUUCUCGUUACAUAUACCUAAAUACUCUAAAUAUAUACUAUAUAUUAUAUAUGUAUAUAUAUGUUUAUUUUUUAUAUAUUUUAUAUAUGUAUAAAUACAUAUAUACAUAUUUUGUAUAUAUUACAUUUUAUAUAUAAUAUAUAUCAUAUAUACAGUAUACACAUUUAUGAGGGUUCUUUUUACAUUAACAAGAUCAAAUCAUACAUAUUAUUCUAUGACUUGGUUUUUCAUUUAAUAUGUUUUUGCAGUCGUUCUCUUUCCCUUCUCUCCCUCCCCACUUAUUCUUUUUAAUCACUGCGAAGUAUUCCAUAAUACAGAUUUAUCAUUAUGUAACCAACUUCCUAUUGAUGUUUUUGCUGAUAACUGAUAAUGCUGCAGUGAUCAGUGCUUCCUUUGCAUUUUUGUCCAUGUGUGAAAGUAUUUCUUUAGGUUAGAUUCAAAGAGGUGGUAUCCUGGGCAUAUGCAUUCAGACUUGUGGAAAAUGUCUGUGACACCCUUUCUGCCUCCACUUGUUCCCUCAGCUGGUGCCGCCCUGGAACUCCCUGUUCUGGUUUGACUAGUCCUCCUGGCUUCUCAGAGAAGGAGACAAUGUCGGGGCUGGGGUCUGGUUGGGCAACAUGGCCACCGCUGCUGGUAUAUUCCCUUCAGUCAGAGAACCAAGAAAGUUUAGAACUGUGGCAAAAGCAGAGGGUCUCAGGAAGUGCCGCCAACACAGGUGCAAUCUUGGUUUGCUUAAGUGGAAAUUAACUUCUUCUAAGGCUUUACCCAAUGAUAUAAGUUGAGAUAACUGGCUAACUUGUAUUCAGGAAAAAAAUAAAGUUUGAUUUCUCCCCUACACCAUACAUCAUAUGAAAUUUCAGAUAAAUCAAAAAAUUUAGUAACUAUCUGCUUUGGGAGGAAUUAUGACCGAUUUUUGUUUUAUUAUUUUUGAUUGUCUCUAGUUUCCAAAUAGUUCACAUUUUUUUUUAACAUCUUUAUUGGGGUAUAAUGCUUUACAAUGGUGUGUUAGUUUCUGCUUUAUAACAAAGUGAAUCAGUUAUACAUAUACAUAUGUUCCCAUACCUCUUCCCUCUUGCGUCUCCCUCCCUCCCACCUUCCCUAUCCCACCCCUCCAGGCGGUCACAAAGCAGCGAGCUGAUCUCCCUGUGCUAUGCGGCUGCUUCCCACUAGCUAUCUACCUUACGUUUGGUAGUGUAUAUAUGUCCAUGCCUCUCUCUCGCUUUGUCACACACAUAUUAUUAAAAAUUAUUUUAAAAGAAUUUCUUGUUGGGACUUCCCUGGUGGCCCAGUAGUUAAGACUUCACCUUCCAAGGCAGGGGGUGCAGGUUCAAUCCCUGCUCAGGGAGAUAAGAUCCCACAUGCCUCAUGGCCAAAAAAACAAAACAUAAAACAGAAGCAAUAUUGUAACAGAUUCAAUAAAGACUUUAAAAAUGGUCCACAUCAAAAAAAAAUUUUUAAUUAAAAUAUAAAAAAAGAAUUCAUUAUUUUCCAAGUACUAUUUCUAAUUCAUUAAUCUCUCUUUAUCUCUUUAUAUCUACAUAUUAGAACAUUACCCUCUUUUGUAGAGUCUCCUAUUUGAGGGUCAUUUUUUGGAAAUCUUUAGUGAGUAGAGGUGCCAAGUCUUGCCUUAAAAAUAUGAAAGAGCAGACCUAGAGAUAAGAAAACUUUUGUAACAAAAUUGUAUUAUGAUUUAAGACAUGAGACACAUUGUAUAGUAUGUAAAAUGGCUCACAAACAUGCUCCUAGAAAUACAUUCUGAGUAUAUUUCUGGCUCAUUUUUUACUACAUGUGGAUAAAUACUGUUGUAGAUGUUCAGGAAUAUAACAAAUAUUAACACUACUAUUUUAACUCCCCCAAAUAUUUAUGGAUUCUAUUGUGAAUUAAGAAAAAUGAUAUCACUUUCAGUUGUUAGCCCUCCUUGAACUGGGAAUUAGUUCACUCAUGCAAUUUAUUUUUAAUUCACUUGGUUUUACUCAGAAUUGUUUUUCUGCAAAUUAAAAUGCUGCUCUGCUUGCAAAACAAUAUUACUUAGACACCCUGAACAUGCUGACUCGCUCCACCUCUUUUUCUCAUCUUUGAUCAUAGCUGCAGGACAGGAUAACUAAGCAGAGGAAGAUGGUUGGAUAUCCUCUUCUCAACAAAUUUUGUAUAGCACCCACCAGGUGCCAGGCACCAUGCAGCUCCCCACCCUCACUGGUCUCUCCCUUCAUACCUACUAUGUGCUGAGUGUGGUGUCAGACCAUGAGGAUCCCAUCCUGAGAGAGGCAAGCUUGCUGUCUGUCCUCAGGGGGCUUGCAGUGUAGCAGAUACAGCUCCUGGAAGUAAACGGGAUCACGUGACAGGUUCUGGCCAACAGACUGUGAGUAGAUGUGCCAGGAGUCACUUUGGUGGUCUUCUUCACCUGCCACGUCAACAGCAAGAGGCUUUAUCUCCACAGUGGAGCCACCAGAGAGAAACAGCCUGCGUCCCCGAGCCCCUGCUGAAAAUGAGAUGCCCUGGAGGACGCUCAGAGCCACAGCGGACUUUGCAUAACAGGACAAGCCAACUCAUGGGCACAAAGAGAACAGUUAUGGCCCAGCCCACUCAAAAACAGAGCUCAGCUAAUUAGUGGAUGGCAAAGCAGGAGGCGGGAAUGUUUAGUAAUCAUAACAACAACAACAACAACAGCAAAAAAUACCUCAAAGACUUCUCAGUAAAAGGAACUGUUGUCCCAACAGACCAUGGAUGUGCUUUUUAAAAUCUGUUAGACAUCAAAUCAGCUGAUAGGGUCCAAUGUUGACAAGCAUUCAAAAGGGCUUUUUCUUAUCAAAUAGAGAAUCUAGUUGCAAAAUCAUUAUCUACAGUCUACAGUAGUUGGUAAUCUUGUUAGGAACCUUGACUAAAAGGCCCUCUGGAUUUAUUUUUCCCUUAACUUCUCUUCAGAAAUGGGUAGCAUGGAGGGAGAAGUUACCAUGGGAUACCAUGACUGGGAAAGUGAUUUACCCUGCUAUUGCUAGAAAGGUUGGUUAGUUGGUUGAUACAAUUUAAUGCCAACUCCCAGAGUAAUUAAAAAUUAGAAGAGUGAUUUGGUGCAAGCACAUGAAAUAUCUCCAAGCACGAUUUGCUCAAGUCCCAUUUUCAAACGAAGGGUCCUGGAAGAAAAAUGCCCCUACAGUUCCAAAGUGCCCCAUCGAAGAACCCACAUCUUGCCUGCAGUGCGGAGUCACAGAGGCAGGGAUUUGUCCUGGGUGGAAAGUUCACUGAACAUGCUGUGCUGACUUGUUGAAAAUUACUUGUUCCAAAAGCCAUUCAGAAACCAGUAAUUCUAUUAGUUUGACUUCUGGAACAGUUGCCUACCUGCAGCAAAAAGUAAUUACAGCUGUCCGCCAGCAAAUAAUCGUUCCAGUGUCUAAGCGAAUGGCGAAUCUUCUCUGGAAGGAAUUACUGUUCUUCAGUGAGUCAGCUCAGACCAUUUCUCCACUUUGGUUGUGACGGACUGGGCCAUCUGCCUAAACCAGUGAGGGAAGGGGAAAGGGCUGAGCGUGCUUUACUUGGUGGAAACAGGCAGGACAGGGACCUCACAAAGUUUAUCAGCUGCAAGGCUUUUCUGAGCCAGGCAAAGCCCUUCAUGAAGACACGGGCACCCGAGGCAGCUUUCAGGUCAAGGACUUGGCCACUGACUGUGAAACUGAGUGCCUCUAAAACCGAGUUCCCUUGCAGAGUUUAUGAUUAAUCUCUCUAUUCAUAAACCUUGAUCUCUUUCUUGUCUCCUCUGACCUCAAUCCUGUGCUAACUGAACACGAAUCAAACAGUCAGAUGACAAAGAUGGCUGUUCUCGGUAACAUUGUUAAUACAGUAAAAUUGCUAUUAUGGAGGUCAUCGUUAACGUAAAGACUCAGAGCAAGAUGAGCUCACAGAUCCCUGAGGCUUGGACCAUCUGGCCAGAGAAUCAUAAACCAGAGGCAUCCUGACUCGCGAAACGACAGUUAAGAAAUGUCACAGAAAUGUCACAAAAUGAUUAAUCCCAGUUUCUUUGUUCUUCCCGUUUAAAACAGCCCUAACUCAAAGACCAAGAUGGAGUGGAUCUGAGACUGGUCUCCCACUCCCUUGCUUGGCACCCUGCAAAUAAACCCUUAUUUUGCUGCAAACACCUGCUGUCAGAGUUUGGUUUUCUGCACCGUGGGUCUUGCUCUAGAACAGCUGCAUCAAAAAACCUCUGAUGCUCCGGCCUUUUCCUCCCAUUCUUUGCCAGUGCUCACUACAUUUACAAGGGAGCCUAGUAGACAGGAAUCCCUGUGCCCACAGCCGGGUAACAAUGGCAAGGGGUGUCCAGGUAGACCGUUUCCAGAGGAAAAGAAGGGGAACGGUUUAGCAAGGGCAGGAGGUCAAUUUGUAAAAGGAAAAUUUCCAGUAAAUUGGAACAAUGCUUUUCCAAUAACACUCAAAGGUCCAGGCACUCAGGAUUCCUGAAGGACUGCAAUAUCACUUCUGAAAAGCCAGCUGUACUUCGGUUGGCAUCCCCUAUGUCAUAACAGCUGGCAGAACUGGGAUACAGCAGAACCUCCUCCGGACUGGAAGAAGAUCAGGGUUCGGGCCCAGUUCUUAGAUCUUCCAGGCCUCUGUUUCGUCACAUGUGCAGAGGAGCAGUUAUUGUUGAGGGCUCUGACUUGGAAAUUCUCUAGAUUUGGGGCACAGUUGGGCUGUGUGGUCUGAACACUGGUGGGAUGCUAUGGGCAGCCAGCUUUGGGGAUGACGGCUUUUAAAGGGCUCCUGUGCGUGGAGGUCCAAAGGGCAUUGUUAAGCCCUGGGGGGAAUUUAUAAACUGCUGUUGAGUUGGUAGAGAGUAGAUGGUCUGGUAGAAGCCAGGCUCCGUGGUAGCUCUGUGCCUAGAGGCUGGGUCUUGUGCAACUGACCAAACUCUCGCAGCCCUGAUCCUAUCCAUUAUCCUCUGCAAAUGAAGAUGAAGCACUGGGGGAAUGUUAUAUUGGUGAGCGCGUUAUGAGGGACGGGCCCCGCCUGCCGAUCCACCAGCUUCCUGCUUGAUCUUCCAUUUCAAUAACACCUAAUUUGGCAACUCACAUUUGCCUGCAGUUGUAGCGUGGUUCUGUGGCUGUGCACCAGCCCCUGUUUUUUGUUCUCUCUU